rnacentral:tRNA from 1 species
AUACGAAGAUACUCACGAUGAGUGUCCACACAGAUUGAUUAGGUUUAGAAAGUAAAAGAGACGAUAUUGGGUCUGUAGCUCAGCUGGUUAGAGCGCUCGCCUGAUAAGCGGGAGGUCGGUGGUUCGAGUCCACUCAGACCCACCAAUAUCGAUUAGAAACAAAGAUGGGGCUAUAGCUCAGCUGGGAGAGCGCCUGCCUUGCACGCAGGAGGUCUGCGGUUCGAUCCCGCAUAGCUCCACCAUCUUUAAGUGUUUUUAUCUGAAAAUAUUUAAAAAUGGUUUCGAAAGAAAUCUAGCUCUUUAACAAUUUGGAAAGCUGACUGAUUGAUUACUUACGAGUAAUUCAAUCAAAUUUAAAAGUUCUCAAUGUUUAUCUUUCAUUAGAUAAACGCAACAAACACAUUCAAGUGUCUUGUAUUCGAAUC